rnacentral:rRNA from 1 species
GAUGAACGCUGGCGGCGUGCCUAAUACAUGCAAGUCGAGCGAACAGACGAGGAGCUUGCUCCUCUGACGUUAGCGGCGGACGGGUGAGUAGCACGUGGAUAACCUACCUAUAAGACUGGGAUAACCUCGGGAAACCGGAGCUAAUACCGGAUAAUAUAUUGAACCGCAUGGUUCAAUAGUGAAAGACGGUUUUGCUGUCACUUAUAGAUGGAUCCGCGCCGCAUUAGCUAGUUGGUAAGGUAACGGCUUACCAAGGCAACGAUGCGUAGCCGACCUGAGAGGGUGAUCGGCCACACUGGAACUGAGACACGGUCCAGACUCCUACGGGAGGCAGCAGUAGGGAAUCUUCCGCAAUGGGCGAAAGCCUGACGGAGCAACGCCGCGUGAGUGAUGAAGGUCUUCGGAUCGUAAAACUCUGUUAUUAGGGAAGAACAAAUGUGUAAGUAACUAUGCACGUCUUGACGGUACCUAAUCAGAAAGCCACGGCUAACUACGUG